AACGAACGCUGGCGGCAUGCCUAAUACAUGCAAGUCGAACGAGAUCUUCGGAUCUAGUGGCGCACGGGUGCGUAACGCGUGGGAAUCUGCCCUUGGGUUCGGAAUAACUUCGGGAAACUGAAGCUAAUACCGGAUGAUAUCGAAAGAUCAAAGAUUUAUCGCCCAGGGAUGAGCCCGCGUAGGAUUAGCUAGUUGGUGGGGUAAAGGCCUACCAAGGCGACGAUCCUUAGCUGGUCUGAGAGGAUGAUCAGCCACACUGGGGCUGAGACACGGCCCAGACUCCUACGGGAGGCAGCAGUAGGGAAUAUUGGACAAUGGGGGCAACCCUGAUCCAGCAAUGCCGCGUGAGUGAUGAAGGCCUUAGGGUUGUAAAGCUCUUUUACCCGGGAUGAUAAUGACAGUACCGGGAGAAUAAGCCCCGGCUAACUCCGUGCCAGCAGCCGCGGUAAUACGGAGGGGGCUAGCGUUGUUCGGAAUUACUGGGCGUAAAGCGCACGUAGGCGGCGAUUUAAGUCAGAGGUGAAAGCCCGGGGCUCAACCCCGGAACUGCCUUUGAGACUGGAUUGCUAGAAUCUUGGAGAGGCGGGUGGAAUUCCGAGUGUAGAGGUGAAAUUCGUAGAUAUUCGGAAGAACACCAGUGGCGAAGGCGGC
rnacentral:rRNA from 1 species